GACAGAGGCCUCAAGCGUUAGGCGGAAUCACUGGGCUUAAAGCGUGUGUAGGCGGAUCGUUAAGUGUCUUGUGAAAUCCCACGGCUCACCCGUGGAACUGCUGGGCAUACUGGCGAUCUUGGGCCAACUAGGGGCAACUGGAACAAGCGGUGGAGCGGUGAAAUGCGUAGAUAUCGCUUGGAACGCCAAAGGUGAAAACAGGUUGCUGGGGUUGUGCCGACGCUGAGACACGAAAGCCCAGGGGAGCAAAACGGGG
rnacentral:rRNA from 1 species